rnacentral:rRNA from 1 species
GAUGAACGCUAGCGGCAGGCCUAACACAUGCGAGUCGAGGGGCAGCGCGGGUAGCAAUACCCGGCGGCGACCGGCGCACGGGUGCGUAACACGAAUGCAAUCUGCCCUGUACAGGAGAAUAACCCGGAGAAAUCCGGCCUAAUGCUCCAUAGCGCGUAGGAGCGGCAUCGCCCUUACGCUAAAGAGCCAUCGGUACAGGAUGAGCAUGCGCCCUAUUAGCUAGUUGGCGGGGUAACAGCCCACCAAGGCCACGAUAGGUAGGGGUUCUGAGAGGAAGGCCCCCCACACUGGUACUGAGACACGGACCAGACUCCUACGGGAGGCAGCAGUGAGGAAUAUUGGUCAAUGGGCGCAAGCCUGAACCAGCCAUGCCGCGUGCAGGACGACGGCCCUACGGGUUGUAAACUGCUUUUGCACGGGAGCAAACCCGGCCCCGCGGGGCCGGUUGAGAGUACCGUGCGAAUAAGGAUCGGCUAACUCCGUGCCAGCAGCCGCGGUAAUACGGAGGAUCCGAGCGUUAUCCGGAUUCAUUGGGUUUAAAGGGUGCGUAGGCGGCUUGGUAAGUCAGCGGUGAAAGGCUGGGGCUCAACCCCAGCAGCGCCGUUGAAACUGCCGAGCUUGAGUACGGAUGAAGCCGGCGGAAUGCGCAGUGUAGCGGUGAAGUGCAUAGAUAUUGCGCAGAAGGCCGAUUGCGAAGGCAGCUGGCUAAUCCGGAACUGACGCUGAGGCACGAAAGCGUGGGGAUCAAACAGGAUUAGAUACCCUGGUAGUCCACGCCGUAAACGAUGAUAGCUCGCUGCUGGCGAUACACAGUCAGUGGCCAAGCGAAAGCGGUAAGCUAUCCACCUGGGGAGUACGUUCGCAAGAAUGAAACUCAAAGGAAUUGACGGGGGCCCGCACAAGCGGAGGAACAUGUGGUUUAAUUCGAUGAUACGCGAGGAACCUUACCCGGGCUCGAACGGCUUCUGAAUGCGGGCGAAAGCCCGCAGCCAGCAAUGGCAGGA